rnacentral:lncRNA from 1 species
GCCAAAAUACAUAGUAUAGAAAGCAAACUACAACUUUGACAAUACAGAUGUCGUGUAGAAUACGACAAUACAAUUGUGAGUUUGAAUACAAAUAUUGUCUUCUAGACAAUAUACACACCCAAAUAAGUCCUCAUUAAUUAUUCAUACACUAUUUUACAGAAAUAGUGAGGACAGCUAAAACAUCUUCCUAGAACCAUCACUCCAUACCCCGACUCGAUCCUGCUAUGUUCUCACCUCCUGAGAAGAAAAAUGGAACAAAAAGGAAAAGGGUGAGCUCAACUAGCCCAGUAAAGAAUAUUAUGACUAAGAUAAUAUACAACAAAUUAUCGUUAGUCUUCAACAGGGAAAAAUCUAAUAGAAUACAAUAGACAACAAGUUUUAGAUCAACAAAUGCAGCGGAAACAGCAAUCCAUUAGAAGAGUCACGUAGAGAAAGAAUUCUACUGUCUUCUAAGGUUUAAAAGUCCAUCAUCAAUAGUUUAUCCCUGUAAUAACAAUCAAUAUACAUCUUUAAUCAUCUUUGCACUACAGGCCAAAGAUAUUCAUUUGUAUCACCAGUUGGUCAUGUUCAUCUCAACACCUGUUCAUCUUUGCACUACAGGCCAAAGAUAUUCAUCAGUUAAUCGUUCAUCUUUGCACUACAGGCCAAAGAUAUUCAUUUAUAUCACCAUUUAGGACUGAGGAUGAUGAAAAACAUUUUUAAAGAAACGAAUCCAGUGAAACAAAAUGACAAGGAUUAAGGAUUAAGGAUUCGUACUUUGUUUUACCCAUGUCCAAAAAUACUUCGAAAAUAAUCAUAUUGGUGUAAAAUUCAAGAAUGAUCAAAACAUGGAUACAAUCAAAGCUAGUAUCCAGAAUAGAUAUUUUGGACAAAAAGAAAAAUUUUUAUUUUUCGGUGAAUAGUGCCGUAUUCGUGAAUAGUGUCGUAUACGUGAAUAGUGCCGUAUACGUGAAUAGUAACCCCGACACAACAAGUUCCAAAUUUGAUAAAAAAGUUCACCAAUACUUCGGCAUAAUGAUAUUGAAGAAAAAAUAUCAUUUAAGAAGAAAAUAAUACCCCUUACCUCAAAAUAACCGUACUUCUGACUGAAUUUCGGUAUAGUGCUGACAGAAACCCGCACCGUAUAGCAACACUCAAAGUAUACUCACAAGAAUACGCUCGAUAAUUUAGAGAGA